rnacentral:rRNA from 1 species
AGUGAACGCUGGCGGUAGGCCUAACACAUGCCAGUCGAACGGCAGCACAGUAAGAGCUUGCUCUUACGGGUGGCGAGUGGCGGACGGGUGAGGAAUACAUCGGAAUCUACUUUUUCGUGGGGGAUAACGUAGGGAAACUUACGCUAAUACCGCAUACGACCUACGGGUGAAAGCAGGGGAUCUUCGGACCUUGCGCGAUUGAAUGAGCCGAUGUCGGAUUAGCUAGUUGGCGGGGUAAAGGCCCACCAAGGCGACAAUCCGUAGCGGGUCUGAGAGGAUGAUCAGCCACACUGGAACUGAGACACGGUCCAGACUCCUACGGGAGGCAGCAGUGGGGAAUAUUGGACAAUGGGCGCAAGCCUGAUCCAGCCAUACCGCGUGGGUGAAGAAGGCCUUCGGGUUGUAAAGCCCUUUUGUUGGGAAAGAAAGGCAGCAGGUUAAUACCCCGCUGCUCUGACGGUACCCAAAGAAUAAGCACCGGCUAACUUCGUG